CAUUUUCAAUUUAAAGAGAUGUUCCAAAUCUGCCUGCUUAUCAUCUGACAAUUGGGGACAGGAUAGUAACUUCAAUACCUGAUGCUGUUGUUUGUAGCUUUGUUAGGAAUGGAGAAGAAGUAGAGGAGAAAGUUAUUGCUGUUGUAGAGGUAAAGAAAGACUACACCAGACACUCAAAUCUGGAAAUUGUGAGGCAGACCAGAAAUUCUGAAAUGAAGACAUCAGUUAUUAAGCAUAUUGAUUCUGGACUAAAAGGCCAGCAUGCUGGAGAAAUGCUAGCAGUUAUUCCUUCAUCUGUAUUUGGUUCUAAUGGAAUAUAUGGAAUCAUAGUACAGGGAACAAUGAUCACAUUUGUAUCCCUGGCAACAAGUCAAGAAUAUUGUAAUAACCUUAGUGAAGGGAAAAUGAAGAAUUGUCAUGCUACAAUAAAGUACAGCAAUGCAGUUAAUAUGCUUUCUACUGAGGGAAGAAAAGAACUUGUCAAAACCUUUCUUGGAAUGUCAACUUUACUUGAUUGUAUGUCACAGGAAAUAAUGAAUUAGGUAUUUGUUUGUAUUAGUUACCUCCUCAAACAUUUUUGUCAAACAUUAAACUUAGUUAAGAAGUAUAAUUAUAUCCUAUUCAACUUUUUUGCAAAGGGAUAAUAUUGUCUUUGAUCCACCUGUAUGUCAGUCCAUUUGAGGUUUCCAGACAAUAUAUAAAUAACACAUAGCUGAGAGGGUGAUAGAGCAGAUUGUUACCCCAAGAAAACAUUGUCAACUGAGGCGAAGCUAUGUGUUAUCUAAUUUAUUAUACUGAAUGUUCUGUUAUUACUGUCGAUUAAAUUUCAAAUUCAAAGUAAUAAACUAUGACGUCUUGUACAUAACAAUCAUCCGUUUAUUAAUAAAGCGCACAUUUGAUCAAGCGUCUCCGUGAAGGUUAAUAGAGUAUUUGCCAUAGGAUAGAAUCGUAUUUAAUAAAGCGCACACUUAAUCAAGCGUCUCUGUGAAGGGUAAUAGAGUAUUUACCAUAGAAUAGAGUAAAUUGUCUCACUCGUAUUAACAAAUCAAAAUCUGGCAUUUUGACAUGAAGUAUAAUAAUAUAAAUUAACACAUUUUCUUCAACUUGCUACAAACCUUUAUGACCAUAAGGUACAGAUCAAGUUUGAAUGUGGAUGUAACCAGAUUUUUGUUUGUUCCAGGGUGAAGCCCCUUUGUCAACUGAUCAUAUAGAAAAUUUUGAGUUUUUAAAAACUUGGAAAUGAGAUUUCUUUAGAUCUGCCAAAGGUUUAUUUAUACCAUGAGAUACAGAUCACUUUUGAAAUUUGUGCAUAAUACUAAGUAAAUGACUGAUAUGCAUAGAACAUACUUAUGUAGCAAUGUAACUUUAUAUCAAAUUAGAUUACCUGUAAAAGACCAUUGUUAUAUUUUUCUCAAUCCUGUUUUAUAUCAGUACUUCUUCAUUGGUAUUUAGAUAUACAUAUCAAAGGGACAACUCGAUAUCUAACUUAAAAUCCUCACACUUGUUCAUUUCAUGUCUCUAUAAUAAUAUAUUGUAUAGUAUCAUAUAUGUUUAUUUGAUAUUGUCUUGAUAUUUAUUAUUUGUAUAUAAUGGAGAAGACGUUCUAUGUUGAAAAACUUGUGUCUGAUCCUUUUGUUGUUAUUUUGACAAUAAAAUAUGUUUAAACUAAACUUUGUAGGAAGCAGGUAUUGAAUUAAAAAGAUCUUGCUUACAAAGAAAAUAAGAAACUCAUUUUAAGUAAGCUUUUCAAAAAAAAUUUAUGAAGGAUUUCAAAUUUAUGAAUCUUAAUACAUGUAUAUAUGAAUUCUUCCCUUAUACCUGUUUCUUCCUUUAUUUCCAAUAUUUUUAUGGAAGGUCUGUUAAAGCUUGAGGACAUAACAUCAGCAAGGAUAAUAAGUAUAUAUUUAAUCAUCCAGUAAAAAGUUCAUUUCAGUACUUUUCAAAACUAAAUGUAUUUAAUACAUGUCAUGCAUCUCAUUUAAAUAAAACAGAAAAAUUAGCACUUAUUAACUUAAUUUCUGUUUUAUCAAGGAUGAUGAUCUAAGUUACAAAAAUUACCUAUUUUUUAAAUAUGAGGUUAAGGGUCUAGGUCAACAUACUUGGUACACAACACAAAUUUUUGAAGUAUUCUACUUACACACAAAAUUUUGGAGGCCUAGCUCUUUAGGCAAUAAAGUUAUAAAAAUGACCUAUUUAUUGACCUUGAGUUCAAGGUCAACAUUCUUGGUACAGGACACAUCGUCUUUAAGUAACCGCCCUACACACCAAAGAUUGUAAGCCUAGGUCUUAAGACAAAAAAAUUACAAAUUAACCUUGAGGUCAAGGGUCAAGGUCAGCAUCCUUGAUACAAAUGACUCAUUGUCCUAAGAAAACUUAUCUUUACACCAAAUUUCCAAAGCCUAGCUCUUAAGACAAAAAAGUUACAGGCUGGUCUAGAAA